GCAUGUGAAUUGAUGUGAUCAUGUCAAUCUUUAUUUAUAUAGUUUUUUUUUUUCAUUAGGAUGGUCAUAAGCAAUGUAGCCCCAGGGGCACGGUGGCGUGGGUUUCAGCCUCUUUGUUUGGUGGUGCUCACACUAUUACUUCUUUUUUGUUUUUUAAGUCCUCAUAAGGUGUGAAAGUAAUCGAAUAAUUUUGUUUGUCUGCUCACCUGUGCCUUGCAUAUUUCAGCUACCUGGCUUCGCACUUGCAGAUAGUUGUCAGAGGAUUUAUAAGAUUUUGUAAGAAUAUCAAUUGCUUCCUCGGUCGGUAUUACUCCAGCUAAACCUUCUUCGAUAUCCUGUUGAUAACAAAAGCCUAUAAGAUCUUUCAUUAACUUUUUUUUUUUCUUUUUGUCAGGUUUGUGUUGAAUUGGAUAAGUCACUUCACCUAAAAGCGUGCACGCAAGCAUGCAAGCAAGUAUACAAUAAAGAAAAAAAUCUUACCUCCUGGAAAUCUUUGUUUAUAGUUUUAAGAAAGUGAUCGGAUGGAUUCUGGAGGGUUGGGCAAGGGAAGCCAUUCAAAGCAAAAAACUGCAUGUAAUUGAAAGCAAACAAGCACGUUAGUUAAAUUUUUAUUUGGGAAAAUGAUGUUAGUAAUUAAGCCAAUCAUUUCUCUAAUCAUGUUUCAAAAACUAUCAAAACCUUAUGUUGGUUAAAAAAAUUGAUCCACUUUUCAUUUUACUAUGGAUCAAUCAAAAUUUCUAUGGGUAUAGUAGUUUAAGAUUAAAAAGGUGAAAGUUAUUUAUUUAUUUUUUUCUUUUUGGCAGCACCGAGGUUUUGAUGGGUUCUGAACAUUGUGGGGAAAUGAACUUGCCUCAUUUGCCGCAGAAGCUGGACCAAAAUAGACAGUUUGACCGGAAGAAAGAAGGCAAAGGUUGUGAAAAAGCUGAAAAACUUCGCUGCUAGGUUGAUGGAUUGAUGCUAUUAUUGUUCUUGAUCCCACUCCAUGAUCUCUUUGAUCAAGCUUAGCAAUCCUGCUCAUUACAUAGUAUGAAGCAGCACUAUCAAGUCCGCUUGUUGGCU
rnacentral:lncRNA from 1 species